UCCUCUCCACCUCCACGUCGUCGUCUCCGCGGCUGAGGGUCGCCGCCAUCGAGGCCCGAUUUAGCUCUCUCGAGCUCAUCGGGAGUGGCUCUUUCGGCGAUGUCUUUAGAGGAGGAAGGCAAGAGGAGCACUUGAGUUUGUUUGGAGCAUACUUGACUUCCAAAAGGACCAAGAUGUGAGAAUUAAAGUUGGAUAUGAAAUAUCUCAGCAGAUCUUCAGGUAAACACAUUUACAUCAAUUUUGCAUGCUAGGAUGCUGCAUCUCUCGCAAUUGCAAUCAUGAAGAAAAACUUGAGAGGUCAAACGUUUUUAGGGUGUGAUGACAAUCCUUUAUCGCGGCAAGAAAUAAUGGAGUGUGUGAAACGAAGCGGAAAGUUCAGCAAGGAGUUGAAGAAGCUUCUGCAUUGUCAUAGCCAUUGUAAAUAAUUUAUGUAAAAGUUUGUAAAUAAUUUAUGUAUCUCUCUACUAUUUUGAUGAAUAUAUUAUUUGAAUAUAA